rnacentral:rRNA from 1 species
GACGGAGGAUGCAAGCGUUAUCCGGAAUGAUUGGGCGUAAAGCGUCCGCAGGUGGCAGUUCAAGUCUGCUGUCAAAGACCGGGGCUUAACUUCGGAAAGGCAGUGGAAACUGAACAGCUAGAGUAUGGUAGGGGCAGAGGGAAUUCCUGGUGUAGCGGUGAAAUGCGUAGAGAUCAGGAAGAACAUCGGUGGCGAAGGCGCUCUGCUGGACCAUAACUGACACUCAGGGACGAAAGCUAGGGGGAGCAAUGGG